ACAACAACCACAGCAGCUCCAACAACAACCACAGCAGCUCCAACAACAUCAACCACAGCAGCUCCAUCAAAAACUACUGCUGUUCCAAUGACGACAGCAGUUGGCCAAGUGACAACUACACAACCUACAAGUGCGUGUGCUUCAAACCCAUGUCUCAGUGGAAGCACAUGUCAAGAUCGUGGUAACGGGUCUCACUUGUGCUUGUGUCUUCCGGGAGAUGUUUAUCAACAAGGCUGUCAAAAGGCCAAGGUUUUCCGUGCUCUGGUGGCCUUGGUGGAAAAAUAUCAUCCUGAAAUGGCCGACAAAACAUCACAAAAAUUUAAAGAGAUUGCAGACAAAAUUAUU